UGAAAAGCAUUGAUCGGAAAGAGUAGCUUAUUCUGAAAUCACAGAGAGGGAAUGUCACCGGCUGAAAGCAUUCUUGAAUUUCUUAUAAGCGAAGUGCAUCCGUGAGCUGGUUAGGCGAAGAGAGUAGCUUAACUCGGUUACAGCCGUUACCUGUUUUGAGCUCGCUAUUAUGCGAAUUUGAGUGGAACCGCGGAUUACUUCGUCUCUUAG
rnacentral:ncRNA from 1 species